CAAAAGUUUGGUCCUGACUUUACUGUUAGCUUGAGCUGGAUUUACACAUGCAAGUCUCCGCACCCCUGUGAGAAUGCCCCACAGUUCCCCUCCCUGGAACAAGGAGCAGGUAUCAGGCACGCUACGGCAGCCCAUUACACCUUGCUUGGCCACACCCCCAAGGGACAACAGCAGUGAUAGAUAUUAAGCCAUGAGUGAAAACUUGACUUAGUUAAAGCUUACAGGGCCGGUAAAACUCGUGCCAGCCACCGCGGUUAUACGAGCGGCCCAAGUUAACAGAACCUCGGCGUAAAGCGUGGUUAGAUACUUUCAAACUAAAGCCGAAUCCUCUCCAAGCUGUUAUACGCUCAUGAGAACCAGAAGAACCACUACGAAAGUGGCUUUAUACAAUUUGAACCCACGAAAGCUAAGGUACAAACUGGGAUUAGAUACCCCACUAUGCUUAGCCCUAAACUUAGAUAAUUAUUUACCCAUAUUAUCCGCCCGGGUACUACGAGCACCAGCUUAAAACCCAAAGGACUUGGCGGUGCUUAACAACCCCCUAGAGGAGCCUGUUCUAGAACCGAUAACCCUCGUUAAACCUCACCCUCCCUUGUUUGUCCCGCCUAUAUACCGCCGUCGUCAGCUUACCCUAUGAAGGAUUAACAGUAAGCAAGAUUAGUAAAGCUUAAAACGUCAGGUCGAGGUGUAGCAAAUGGGAGGGGAAGAAAUGGGCUACAUUUCCUAUACAGGAAAAACGGAAGAUAUAAUGAAAUUUAUGUCAGAAGGAGGAUUUAGUAGUAAGAUGGAAAAAGAGCGUCCACCUGAAACUGGCCCUUAAGCGCGCACACACCGCCCGUCACUCUCCCCGAGCCAAGAUAACAAGAUAACUAAUUAACCCUAAAGGCAAAGGGGAGGCAAGUCGUAACAUGGUAAGCAUACCGGAAGGUGUGCUUGGCUAAAU
rnacentral:rRNA from 1 species